rnacentral:lncRNA from 1 species
CACGACAUAACACAUACUGUACACAUGUCUAACACAUCAUAUUAACAGAUCAUUGCCCAACAUGCUCUCCAUCAUAGAACAUAUUUACUUUUGUUAUCUUGUUUUCGGAUUUGCUUGCCAUCAAACUAAACCUAUGAUAACCAUACAUUAUUUUAGUCUUCCUCAUUCUCAUUUACAAAAGAUAAUUUUAGCUAAUAAACUUAAGUUACUUUCAACUUCCUAUGGGUUCGAUAUCCUUCUU